GAACAUCUCUGUAAUAUAGACUGCUUCCUGGAAAGGAAUGCUGCAUAGCUAGAGCCGUUUCCCUAAUUUGAUUUUGUGUCAGCAGCAUGUGGAAUUUCCUUCGGUCACUUAAUGUCAUCAUAUCGUAUAGGCAACAGCACUCGGGACAGCACAGCAGCGCUGCUUUAUGGCUGCAGAUGUGUAAUUAUAAUGAAGACACUUCAUUUAAUGUAUUUACGCUAUGGAAUAUCAUGCACUGCUGAGAAAGUGUGAGGAAGGAGUGUUAAUAAUUUAUUUUACAUUUUAUUUUCAGCACAAUGUACUAAGCCAACUGAACCAUAAGUCUUAGGUGAGUAGACUUCUCUGCUUGUGGUAUUUACUACAUGGAUAAAUUAGGUGUACGUAGCAACCAGCUGUCAACCUCCAGAUGUAACACAGUCAAACUGCAUAAAUUCUGUAUACUCAGACACUACGGGCUCCCCUGAUGAAGGGUUUGGUGGGCUGCUGUAAAUAAUCCCAUACUGUGUAAUCUAAUUUCAUGCCACCUUUGUUUUCAUUUUUAUUUUUCUAGUAAUUUAAUGAAAAGCAUGUUUUUGGUAGCAAAGCCUGAUGGCAGCAAAAGCUGUUGGAACUCUGCUUUCUGAGAACACAGAAUCACAAGGAACUAGGGAGUAUGAUAUUUAGUUAGUGUAUGGAUAAGUUUUUACUAUAGACUAAAUUUUUUAUGUUUGUUCUAAUACUUUAUGAACUUGAAACUUUUUUUGAGAAGUCUUUAACCUGGCAUAAAAAUAUAUUAUUACAUGAUUAAGUUAAUUGGAAAAAUAAAAGUGAAAAUGGACAAUGACUUAUGUCAUUGUCUUGUUAGUAUUCCAGCUAUUUCUUAUACUUCUGACUUCAGCUAACUGCCUAUUGUGAGGCUUAAGGUUACUUUAUCAAAUUACAAUAGUAAAAAGCAAGUCCAGUUAAUUGUUAGUGCUAUAUUGUUGCUGUUCACUAUAAAAAUAACUAUAAAGAUAACAUCUUUGCUGUAAAUUCCUCGUAGGAGGAAUACAGAUAAACAUCAGCAUUCUACUAUGCCUAUGCUUCUUAAAACAUUUUCAAAACAUUUCCAUAUGCUUUAAUUUAGUAAGCAUGUAUCUGUUAGUACUUCUGCUGUUUUCAUGUGACAGUCUAGAUAUUCAUCUGUUCCUACAAUAAGUCAAUGCAGGAACCUGAACCAGUAGGAAUUGAAAAGUGCCAAGUGUACUGUUUCUGCAGUCAUAUCUGAAAUGUAUAAUACCUACUUGUCAUAUGAAGCUGUUGAGCUAAUGAAAGACUGGGAACAUGACUAAGAAUGUCAUCAUCUCAUUAGAAAUGAAAUUGGAGAGCUCUUUUGUUGGAUUGUCUAAGUAACUUGUUCAGUGGAUGUCUACACUCACUUACAAUUUGUAUCAGUUAAUUGUGGUUUCAUUGUCAGAGGUAGCUAGAUAAAAAUUAUUUGCAUUUUUGUAUGAAUUGUUUGCAGCAUGUGUUAUGGGUAAGAUCUCCUUUAGAGAUUGUUGUUAACUUUUGGGAAGACAAAAAUUGUCACAUGUUUAAUUCUAUCUGGAAAAUGGCUCUUUGUAAUGUUAGAAGAUUUAACAUAUGAAAUGAAAAUGAUUAUCUCGUAAUUCUGGCGUGGGUUAUGUUGAAGUACUCCAAAAGCAUUCAAUGUGCCAGCCAUAGCCUGAGUAUGAAAAAUGUGGUUUGAGUCUCUUGUGAGAUUUGUAUUAACCUUUCUUUAAUUACCAACUUGUUUUAAUGUUUACUGUGCCUAAUGUUGUCCUUUUCUUUUAGAUUUUUCUUAUGAUUCAUUGGAAAACUAAAUAGAAUUUUGCACAACAUAGCUGGGCAUACUUGAUUUAAAUGUGUGCCUCUAUAUCAUUAUCUAGAGGACAAUAUAAGUCAUCAACAAAUCCGAAGCUGGUCUUCAUUAGACAUAUUCAGAUACUUAUUUAAACAUAUCUUAUUAAACUAUGGGAUU
rnacentral:lncRNA from 7 species